rnacentral:rRNA from 1 species
UACGGAGGGAGCAAGCGUUACUCGGAAUUACUGGGCGUAAAGGGCGCGUAGGCGAUUUUGUAAGUCUUGUGUGAAAGCCCAAAGCCUAACUUUGGAAGUGCACAAGAUACUGCGAGAAUUGAGUUCCGGAGAGGAAGAUGGAAUUCCCGGUGUAGCGGUGAAAUGCGUAGAUAUCAGGAGGAACACCGGUGGCGAAGGCGGCUUUCUGGACAGAAACUGACGCUGAGGCGCGAAAGCUGGGGGGAGCAAACGGG